UUGUUAAAAUAAAUAUAGGUCAAAGAUUUAUUUAACUCCUGAGUGCAUGGGCCAGCAUUUGGAAAGAGAUGUACUCUUAGAUUCUUGUGGAAAAUUUGUACUGAUGAAAUCUUCAGUUGAAAAACCAUGAUGAGGGCUGGAGACAUGGCUCAGCAGUGAAGAGCAUUUGGCUUUCUUCCAGAGGUCCUGAGUUCACUUCCCAGCACCCAGACAACACCAGCUCAAUGCCCUCUUCUGGUUUGUAGGCAGACAUGCAGGCAAAGCACUUGUGUACAUUAAACAAACAAACAAACAAAUAGAAAGAAGGAAAAAAAGAAAAGAAAAAGAAACACCACGAUGAAGUUCAAUGUCAUCUUCAGCUACACAGUGAGUGUGGUGAUAUUUUAUUUGUGCUUUAAUAAAUAAAGCUUACCUGGAGAUCAGAGGAAAUAGCAAGCCAUUUUAAGCAAACAAAGAAGUCGGGCAAUGUAGUACACGCCCUUAAUCCUAUCAGUUGGCAGGCAGGAUCUCUGUAUGUUCAAGGCCACACUGGAAACAGAGCCAGGUGUGGUGGCACCUGCCUCAAAUACCAAAACUAGUUAACCAUGGAGGUCUGGAGGUCUGUACAGACAGACAGGAAGUGACAGAGCUAGGUAGGAAGAGGAAGUGAUGUAGCUGAACAGAGAGAGCAAAUCAGAUGGCAGAACAGCAAGGCAUAUAGACGUGGGUAGACAGGAAGUAACUCGCUUUUGGAAGCUGCAGAGUUGGUGAGGUAGAUCGAGAGGCUCAACCUUCCAGGGGGCAGAGGAGCUGGGGUGAAGAUAUGCUGAGCUGUGGGCAGUGGGAUGGUCACUCCCUCAUGGAAAGUGGUAAGCCUCAUGGAAAGAUGAGAAAUCAGAUCUGCACAAUGACAGGUAGAUGGAGUAACUUCCUCAGACAUGCAAGGAAGCAAUCUGUUUUCUCCAAUGGAGUGUCACAGGGUAUGUCAACCACAUUUUAGGGUGGGCCCUGUGCCCAGAAGUAGUUCCCAACAAAAAACCAACUCAGUGGCAUUUUUUGUGGACUUUUUGUUUCAUUUGCUUUGACUUUUUUGUCUUAUUAUUCUUAUAUUCAUAUCUUCAAUAUGUUGCAUGAAAAACAAUUUUAAUAAAAAUAAUUUAAAAGAUAUGAAAGGAAGCAGGAGCCCCAAGCUAAGCAUUACUACCAGCAUCAUUAGCAUCAAUAUUAGUACCAGUGUUAUCAGCUAAUUUAACAUCAGCAUCAGCACCAGUAUCCUCAGCAUCAGUACCAGCAUCAUCACUUUCAUUAUCAUAUCAUCAUCAUCAUCAUCAGCAGCAGCAGCAGCAGCCUACAUUAUAGAAGAAAGCAGUAAAAUUCGAUCUGGGCACAUUCUCAAAGCAGGUGUUUCCAAUGCAGCCAAAUGAGGCUGCACAUAGAAUUUUGUGUUCUGACAAAUUGCCAUGGUAAUCACACUGUUCUUCUUCAUUUGACAGCUUAUUAUCUAGCAGUCGAAGUAAUUGGGGAAAUUUUUGUUUCUGUGUUACAUGGAUCUAACAGUGGGAAUAUCAGGGAAGGGGACGGAGGGAGGCAGAGGCAUCAUGCUUCAAGGCUUGGAAGAGGAAGAGGCAAAGAGAGAGGUAGAGACAGAGAGGAAGAGGGAAAGAGAGAGGGAGGGGCUGAGUGGAGGGGAGGGCAGGCACAAGGGAGGGAGGAGGCAGAGCAGAAGAGAAGAAAGGAAGAGAGAAAGUGGAAGACAGAGUCUGGCUGAUGCUAACAGGAAAAGAUUGGAGGAUGCAGAAAGGAGGAGGCUUAGGGUCCCCGAGGGCAUCAGCCCCAAUUGAGAGGCAGCUGGGCAGAGUCUAAUCAGGGCCUGUGGUUGGCAGGUUCCACAGAGAACAUCUGUGUCUUUCCUCAGUAAGAUAAGGUUGCAGGCAGUUUCCCUUUGAGCCUCAGAAGCCCCUACAGGGAGCAGCUGCACUUGAGUGUCGAGACAGCAUGCAGACACUGUCCUCUGUUGCACAUCCAGGGGGCCCAGGUCAUCUACUGGAGGGGGAAAAUUCCUAGUCUGACUCAAGCUACAUGCUUCCAUUUCAAAGCACAUCGUUGACUUUCCCUGGAGAAAUAAGGAUCUGGCCAUCAGGACAACUGAGAGCAGCAGACACUUUUAUGAACUUCACUUUCCGUAUGAUGCUCCCACUGUGCCUGCGGUAGAUGGUCAAGAAGGGGCCAGUAAAUCAUCACUGAGUUGUCA